rnacentral:rRNA from 1 species
CCUACGGGAGGCAGCAGUGGGGAAUUUUGGACAAUGGGCGAAAGCCUGAUCCAGCAAUGCCGCGUGAGUGAAGAAGGCCUUCGGGUUGUAAAGCUCUUUUGUCAGGGAAGAAACGGUGGGAGCUAAUAUCUCUUGCUAAUGACGGUACCUGAAGAAUAAGCACCGGCUAACUACGUGCCAGCAGCCGCGGUAAUACGUAGGGUGCAAGCGUUAAUCGGAAUUACUGGGCGUAAAGCGUGCGCAGGCGGUUUUGUAAGUCUGAUGUGAAAUCCCCGGGCUCAACCUGGGAAUUGCAUUGGAGACUGCAAGGCUAGAAUCUGGCAGAGGGGGGUAGAAUUCCACGUGUAGCAGUGAAAUGCGUAGAUAUGUGGAGGAACACCGAUGGCGAAGGCAGCCCCCUGGGUCAAGAUUGACGCUCAUGCACGAAAGCGUGGGGAGCAAACAGGAUUAGAUACCCUGGUAGUCCACGCCCUAAACGAUGUCUACUAGUUGUCGGGUCUUAAUUGACUUGGUAACGCAGCUAACGCGUGAAGUAGACCGCCUGGGGAAGUCGGUUGCAAGAUUAAAACGUCAAAGAGUUAGUCGGACGNGNGAGAGCGACGACGACGACGAGGAGGAGGAGG